AGAUGUCCCAGCUGAAUGGAGCAUAAACAAGAAGUAAACCCUGGUUGUUAUAAGUCACUGACUUUUGGGGAUUGUCAUUGCAGCAUAAUGUGGCCUAUCCUACCUGGUGCAGUUACUCUGGGUGGUGUGUGAAUGGGCUAAAGAAGUUCCUGCAAGAGAAGAGUGGGGCCUGGGUCUGCCUUUCCCAUUGCCAAGGUGCCUUCUGCUGGCAGCAUCAUCCAUUAUGACUGACCAUGGCAAAUGCCGGUCAGCUGGCCUCACAGCAGGUGUUAGGAAAAUAGUCUUUGGCUUGAUUAUACUAUCUGGCUUUCCCCAAGGAGGUGUCCUCAGAUUUGUUCAAGCCCAAAAGAAUCUUAUACCUGAACCCCCCAGUCCCUAGCCCCUGGGGACUGGAGUUUACCUUUGAGCAGGGCCAUCCCUUGAUUCUGGGUGUGAGCACUUGGUGAGAAGAAAAUAAGCAAAAUAACUAUCCACGGUUCUUGGGGAUGCCCUGAAAGCUCAAAUACUGAAGCUGCAGAUGGAGCAGUUAAGUAUUCUAAAGGGAA